UAAAAAUGUCAGCAUUACCAAUCAGGCCAGAAGAUUAUUUGAAAUAGGAAGAGCUAUCUGGAGAGACAAUGGUGAAGAUAUUUCAAGAUGAAAAAUAAAGGAGCAGUAGGAAGAAAGACUGACAUGUCUCUGGUCUCUGCUGUAAUGGAAGAAGAGAAAAAAAUUUUCUGUAGCCCUGAGCAUUCCUGAGUGCUAAUGAAAGAUGAAAAGAGCUGAUCUUUCUAAUCAGCGGAACACAGGAAAGACGAUCUGUGAUUCUCAACAAAAGCUCCAAUCAAAUGUCAGGUGAUUGUCAGCCCAACACUUGCUUUAAGGAGAUAGCCGGGAACCACUUCUCGAUGUCACUGAAGAUAGGAAGUGCGGGCGUUUCUCCACCACUAGGAAAAUGGAUACUCUAAAAGCAUAAAGCAAAUGGCUCAUGCAGCACUUUGUGUCACCCUCACCAAGAUGCUACCUUAGUAAUCAGAUUAACAGCCAACACAGGUACAAAUGGGUGUGCUAAUGUUCAUCUCAAUUAGACAAAAAGGUUAAAUGGACCUUCAGCUGUCAGAUCUAUAUGCUUUGCUUUGUCAAUGGUAAAGUUUCAUGACAGUAAAGCUGACCUUCAUUCCUGUUUUUAAUUUUUCUAAGUGGGGAUUUGUGGCUUAACUGAAGUGCAGAACUGGGGCAACAAGGAAUAACACCCUUGACACAUGUUUUUAAAAGAAGUGCAGUAUUCAGAUCAAAUCUAAAAAUGAAGAAAACCUAUGCUUGAGCAGGGGGCACCAAGCAGAGUAAACCAGACAAGUCAUUCAUUAGGGGAGUUAAAAUGAACACUUUAUUA